AUUGAACGCUGGCGGCAGGCCUAACACAUGCAAGUCGAGCGGAUGAAGGGAGCUUGCUCCUGGAUUCAGCGGCGGACGGGUGAGUAAUGCCUAGGAAUCUGCCUGGUAGUGGGGGAUAACGUCCGGAAACGGGCGCUAAUACCGCAUACGUCCUGAGUGAGAAAGUGGGGGAUCUUCGGACCUCACGCUAUCAGAUGAGCCUAGGUCGGAUUAGCUAGUUGGUGGGGUAAAGGCCUACCAAGGCGACGAUCCGUAACUGGUCUGAGAGGAUGAUCAGUCACACUGGAACUGAGACACGGUCCAGACUCCUACGGGAGGCAGCAGUGGGGAAUAUUGGACAAUGGGCGAAAGCCUGAUCCAGCCAUGCCGCGUGUGUGAAGAAGGUCUUCGGAUUGUAAAGCACUUUAAGUUGGGAGGAAGGGCAGUAAGUUAAUACCUUGCUGUUUUGACGUUACCAACAGAAUAAGCACCGACUAACUUCGUG
rnacentral:rRNA from 1 species